CUGAAAGUGCAAAAUGCUUUCAGAUUGUCCUACUAGUAUAGAUUAAACAGGUAGGAUGACCUGAAAGUGCAAAAUGCUUUCAGAUUGCCCUACUAGUAUAAAUUUAAAAUGUAGGAUGACCUGAAGGUGCAAAAUGCUUUCAGACUGUCCUACUAGUAUAAAUAAACAUGGAGGAUAGCCUGACUGUACCAAAUGCUGUCAGAUUGUCCUACUAGUAUAAAUUAAACAAGUAGGAUAACCUUAAAGUGCAAAAUGCUUUCAGACUGUCCUACUAGUAUAAAUAAACAUGGAGGAUAGCCUGACUGUACCAAAUGCUGUCAGAUUGUCCUACUAGUAUAAAUUAAACAAGUAGGAUAACCUUAAGGUGCAAAAUGCUGUUAGAUUGUCCUACUAGUAUAAAUUAAACAAGUAGGAUGACCUGAAAGUGCAAAAUGCUUUCAGAUUGUCCUACUAGUAUAAAUUAAAGUACCGGAUUUUCUAUUUGGAUUUACUCUCCAUAGCCUUUGACCAGACAAGGCCCACCUGCAAGGCAGCAGGAAACUCGUGGAAGGCGGGGUCGUUCAUUUC